GGUGGUGUGGUGUAAUGGUAGCACGUGACGUUGUGGCUAAUUUAAAAGAAAAAUUCACACCCGAAUCCGUUUCAAUCUGGGUUCGAUUCCCAGCACCGCCA
rnacentral:tRNA from 1 species